AACGAACGCUGGCGGCAUGCCUAACACAUGCAAGUCGAACGAGACCUUCGGGUCUAGUGGCGCACGGGUGCGUAACGCGUGGGAACCUGCCCUUAGGUUCGGAAUAACUCCCCGAAAGGGGUGCUAAUACCGGAUAAUGUCUUCGGACCAAAGAUUUAUCGCCUUUGGAUGGGCCCGCGUUGGAUUAGCUAGUUGGUAGGGUAAAAGCCUACCAAGGCGACGAUCCAUAGCUGGUCUGAGAGGAUGAUCAGCCACACUGGGACUGAGACACGGCCCAGACUACUACGGGAGGCAGCAGUGGGGAAUAUUGCACAAUGGGCGAAGGCCUGAUCCAGCAAUGCCGCGUGAGUGAUGAAGGCCUUAGGGUUGUAAAGCUCUUUUACCCGGGAUGAUAAUGACAGUACCGGGAGAAUAAGCUCCGGCUAACUCCGUG
rnacentral:rRNA from 1 species